UUUAAGGGAAUGGCAAAGAGAAGAAAUCUGAACUUUCUAUCAUCCUGCUGGGACCCUUCUCAGCUCAGCUUACUUGAUAGUUGAGGAGUCAGUCUCUGGCCUGAUUGAGAUAUCACCUCUGGAACUGAUAAACUAAUUGAGAAAAGGAGGGAAGCAUUACUCAGCUCAAAUCCUACCUUUUGCAAGAUGCCUUUCCUGGUCUAUUCCAGCUUCUCCCAGUACCUUCUCUCUGAGAUAAUUUCCUGUUUACAAGGUAAAUAACUUGUAUGAAUAUACUUGCUUGCAUUUUAUCUCCACUAAAAUGUGUGUGCUGGGUCUGCGUUUUUGCUUUUCUUUGUUUUCUCAGAAUUUAGCACAUUUUAAGGCUUUAAUAAAUGCUAGUUGACUAACUGAUAAGGUGUUCUGAUCUCAGGUGCUAGGUAUCAUCCCUUCCUGGCAGGGAGGAAUCUCCACAUUGAGAUAUACCAAAAAAUGGAGUGCUAUAUUGAGACAUGAAAAAAUCCAGAUAAUUGAGUGACCAAAUUAUAUUGAGGUUCCUGGCUCAAGGGUUUUCCUAUCUUGAUAAAUGGUAUCACUAUCUUAAGCCCUUUCAGUCUGUGUAAACAUAAUCACCACAUAGAUUUACUGGAGCAAGGAGUAAGCAUUCCUAUUAUGAGGUAGGGUUAGAUCUCACCUCACCCCCAGUUUUCUCUCUAAGGGAAUUUUCUGGAAAUGUUCCAGUGAGACUAUUUGUAUGGGGCAGGCAGAACUUCCUCCAACUCCCCACCCCCCACUCUCCACAGGACUCAGAGAUGUCUGACUAUAUGCAUAAUUUAGAAACCCUCCUCUCUUCCCUGGUGGCCAGUGAACCUGGGGAGGUAAGGGCAGUAGGUGGAUAGGAUAUUAUCUUCCAGCACCUCCUUUCUGUGACAGUGCCUUCUCCCCAGACCUUUGGAGAAAGAUAGGAAAGCUGGUUCCUGCACCCUCAGCCAACAAGCACUCAGGAGUCCUUCCAGGAGGGGUGCUGGUGGGCUUACCAGACCCAAAAAAGAAUAAUUAGUAUGAAAGUGUUUGGGGGGGGGGGAUGAGUCAGAGAUGGGAAGGAUUGGAUAAUGGUGUAAGAUUUCUUUGCAUUUGGGGAGAAAAAAAUAUUGAGAAAAGCUGCAUUGCAAAACUCCUGUGAAUAAUUUCCUAAUGAAUUGUAGAA